UACUGGUUUUCAGGUGCUGUAGUGUUUGAUUUUUAUUUUUAUUUUUUUGAAAGAUGCAUGACUCUUCUGCUUCCUGAUGUUACCUUUAUUGCUGAAUCUUCUUUUAUGUGAUCAGGAGUAUUAAAAAGUCUGAGGAAGAUAUACCUGUACCACCCCUCUUGAAAAGUGCAGCACUUUGGGGCGUCUUUCUCGCAGUUUCAUCCAACACUCGCUAUCAAAUUGUCAAUGGAUUGGAAUGCCUGGUAGAAUCUUCGCCUGUGGCGAAAAGGGUUCCACCAGUUGCAUUGGCUUUCACCAUCGGUGUGCGUUUUGCCAACAAUAUCUAUGGAGGUAUGCAAUUUGUGGACUGGGCUAGGUGGAGCGGCGUACAGUAGAAGUAUGAUAUCUAUCUUAUACAUGAAAGUAGAGAUGUACCAUUCAAUUGAAAUGGAAAUGAUUUUGAUCUUCAUCUCAAAAGCUUCUCAACUAAAUUACAGGAAAGUCAUCCAUUGUCUGCAUUUACAGCAUAACCAUAAACAAGCUAUUUCAUGGCAAUGGCGAAAAGAUAGAGAGGAAAUUUCUAUAAGAGAAGAAAGAAAUGUUGUUGUAAGGUCACGAGGGCUAACCUCCUGCAUGGGUUUUUAUCAAGUGUAUAUUAACUAAAAGAGAUGCUGGAUCCAAUACAAACGUUUCUACAAUAAGCUUAGCUUAAAAUGUGUUGCCUACUGUGAUGUGCUAAUGGCA